UUUAGGAUUCUGUUAAAGAUAUUGAAAAAAUUGCCACAUUAUCCAGUAGUCAUAAGCUUCUAAUUCAAGUUAAAGCAUCUAAACAUGAAUAUCGUGAUAUUACAAGAUGGAAAUACACAAUCCUUUCUGUUUGUGAUACUAUUUCAAAAGAAAUCAACACAUUAACACAAACAGAUACUUCAAAUGAUGCUGAAGUUAGUCAAGUUUUAGAAAUUGUUGAAGAGCAAAGUGGAAAAUCAUUAGGCAUAAUUGAAUUGAGAGAUAUAUCUGGAAGUGUUGACAAUGCUAAGAUAGAGCAAAUGAGCAAUGAAGAUAAAGUCCUAGCUGAUUUGGUUUCAAAGCCUACUGCAAGAAACAAUGCAACAAAGAAACUAAAGCUGAUGAUUUCCAAAAGUGCAGGUGAGGCAGAUCCAAUAGCGUUGAAUCUUGAAAGUUCUCAUUUACAAUUUGGUGAAGGGAGUAGGAAGCAGUUUGCCGAGCUUAAAGACAAUGCUUAAUUCGUUAUCAUGGGAACCAUCUUUUUGUUAAUGUGGACAUGAUAGAUUACUAUCAGUUCAUAAGUAGAUUAUUAUCAGUCUUUUGUGAAUUUAUAGCAUAUUUAGACUAUACUAUGAUAGUUACACUAAUAUUAUUAUUUUGUACAUUGCAAGAUGUAAUAGAAAUUGAUUUAGGUAUAACCUAAUACAUUUCUAUUAAAUCUUGCAAUUUAUCUUAGGAAGAUAGCAAUGAUGCUAAGAUAGAUUCAUCUAUGACACAAGUAUUUUAUGACAACUUUUUGUUUAACGAAAGUAAAAUAGUAAUUAUGAGUUUUUAUGAUUGUA